GGAAUAUUGCACAAUGGGCGCAAGCCUGAUGCAGCCAUGCCGCGUGUAUGAAGAAGGCCUUCGGGUUGUAAAGUACUUUCAGCAGUGAGGAAGGAGGUAUCGUUAAUAGCGGUAUCUUUUGACGUUAGCUGCAGAAGAAGCACCGGCUAACUCCGUGCCAGCAGCCGCGGUAAUACGGAGGGUGCGAGCGUUAAUCGGAAUUACUGGGCGUAAAGCGCAUGCAGGUGGUUUGUUAAGUCAGAUGUGAAAGCCCGGGGCUCAACCUCGGAAUUGCAUUUGAAACUGGCAGGCUAGAGUACUGUAGAGGGGGGUAGAAUUUCAGGUGUAGCGGUGAAAUGCGUAGAGAUCUGAAGGAAUACCGGUGGCGAAGGCGGCCCCCUGGACAGAUACUGACACUCAGAUGCGAAAGCGUGGGGAGCAAACAGGAUUAGAAACCCGGGUAGUCC
rnacentral:rRNA from 1 species